UACGUAGGGUGCGAGCGUUGUUCGGAAUUACUGGGCGUAAAGGGCGCGUAGGCGGCCUGCUAAGUCGGAUGUGAAAUCCCUCGGCUCAACCGAGGAACUGCAUCCGAUACUGGCGGGCUUGAAUCCGGGAGAGGGAUGUGGAAUUCCAGGUGUAGCGGUGAAAUGCGUAGAUAUCUGGAGGAACACCGGUGGCGAAGGCGGCAUCCUGGACCGGUAUUGACGCUGAGGCGCGAAAGCUAGGGGAGCAAACGGG
rnacentral:rRNA from 1 species